GAGGUUGUGGCUCAGUGGUAGAGCACUCGCCUAGCAUGUGUGCGACCCUGAGUUCGAUCCUCAGCACCACA
rfam:Ictidomys tridecemlineatus contig064733, whole genome shotgun sequence.